rnacentral:rRNA from 1 species
UGGUGGGUAGUUUGACUGGGGCGGUCUCCUCCUAAAGAGUAACGGAGGAGCACGAAGGUUGGCUAAUCCUGGUCGGACAUCAGGAGGUUAGUGCAAUGGCAUAAGCCAGCUUGACUGCGAGCGUGACGGCGCGAGCAGGUGCGAAAGCAGGUCAUAGUGAUCCGGUGGUUCUGAAUGGAAGGGCCAUCGCUCAACGGAUAAAAGGUACUCCGGGGAUAACAGGCUGAUACCGCCCAAGAGUUCAUAUCGACGGCGGUGUUUGGCACCUCGAUGUCGGCUCAUCACAUCCUGGGGCUGAAGUAGGUCCCAAGGGUAUGGCUGUUCGCCAUUUAAAGUGGUACGCGAGCUGGGUUUAGAACGUCGUGAGACAGUUCGGUCCCUAUCUGCCGUGGGCGCUGGAGAACUGAGGGGGGCUGCUCCUAGUACGAGAGGACCGGAGUGGACGCAUCACUGGUGUUCGGGUUGUCAUGCCAAUGGCACUGCCCGGUAGCUAAAUGCGGAAGAGAUAAGUGCUGAAAGCAUCUAAGCACGAAACUUGCCCCGAGAUGAGUUCUCCCUGACUCCCUGAGAGUCCUGAAGGAACGUUGAAGACGACGACGUUGAUAGGCCGGGUGUGUAAGCGCAGCGAUGCGUUGAGCUAACC